rnacentral:rRNA from 1 species
AUGCUGGAGGUAUCAGAAGUGCGAAUGCUGACAUAAGUAACGAUAAAGCGGGUGAAAAGCCCGCUCGCCGGAAGACCAAGGGUUCCUGUCCAACGUUAAUCGGGGCAGGGUGAGUCGACCCCUAAGGCGAGGCCGAAAGGCGUAGUCGAUGGGAAACAGGUUAAUAUUCCUGUACUUGGUGUUACUGCGAAGGGGGGACGGAGAAGGCUAUGUUGGCCGGGCGACGGUUGUCCCGGUUUAAGCGUGUAGGCUGGUUUUCCAGGCAAAUCCGGAAAAUCAAGGCUGAGGCGUGAUGACGAGGCACUACGGUGCUGAAGCAACAAAUGCCCUGCUUCCAGGAAAAGCCUCUAAGCAUCAGGUAACAUCAAAUCGUACCCCAAACCGACACAGGUGGUCAGGUAGAGAAUACCAAGGCGCUUGAGAGAACUCGGGUGAAGGAACUAGGCAAAAUGGUGCCGUAACUUCGGGAGAAGGCACGCUGAUAUGUAGGUGAAGUCCCUUGCGGAUGGAGCUGAAAUCAGUCGAAGAUACCAGCUGGCUGCAACUGUUUAUUAAAAACACAGCACUGUGCAAACACGAAAGUGGACGUAUACGGUGUGACGCCUGCCCGGUGCCGGAAGGUUAAUUGAUGGGGU